rnacentral:lncRNA from 1 species
GACCUCCCUUGAAUUCUUCUCUGAGCUGCCACUUCUCCAUAGUCCCCGGACUGACCUCUGAGUCAAGCCAGAUGGGACUGAGAGAGACGUCAAGCAAGACCCAAGUCUACAAAACCAGAAGUCUUGUGCAGGCCUCUAGCUUCUGUGCGGGCACCUGGCUACACUAGAGCUGGAAUGUGUUGAGGACUGUAGAGGCCUCUUAUUAGAAGUAGAAGAACACUCCUCCUUCUAGCAGCCUCCCAACAUCUAGUACUCCCUUUCUUUGAGUGUGUUAUGCAUUUGGGACCCUCAAAAUGAAUGCUCCAUAAAUGUCAAACAGAA